GGGUCGGCGUGCAUUGGUGAGCCAAGCUGGCUGUAAACCAGUGGUCUUCGGACUGUGGCGGUUCGACUCCGUCCCGGCCCA
rnacentral:tRNA from 1 species